rnacentral:tRNA from 1 species
GGUAGGUUGGCUGAAGGUUUAGGCGGCGGAUUGUAGCUCCGAAUAAAGAGGUUAGACUCCUUUCCCUACCA